AUACCUGCAGAGGAAGAUAGAAAACCCCACAGAGGAGGUGUAAAGGUACAUCUCUGUGCUCACCAGUCCCAGCAGUACAAAUCAGCACCACAUCACUGAUCAUUCCUACAGAGCACAGGGACUCUGAAGGACUGAUGAAGACAUUGCCAGGACCCAAACUGCUACACUUGGACUGGCAGCUAAAGAAGCAGAGCUGACUUCCACCCAGGCAGAUUCCUCACCUGAUGGGCAAAAUGCAACAGGCACUUCCCAGUUCCAGGAGACCCUACCUCCCAAAGCCAGCAGCAUGUGGCCAAAGGGUGGGCCACUGUCAUCCACAAAGAAGAUCCUCUUCAUGUAGAGUGAAACAAAUUGGCCAUAAUAAACUUCAUCAAAACUGAAACACAAGAGACAGAAAUAUGUCAAAUCUAACAGUAAUUAUCCUGCAGGGAUACUCAGAAAGCAAGCACUGAUUUGUUGGCAGAAAGCUAAGAAUGCAGUGAAACACUGAGACUGUCCCUUCUCCUCAGGGAAGGACUAUCACUGUAUUGGGAUUGUUCAGCCUGGCAAAGAAAAGGCUCACAGGGGUGGCCUAAUUGUGGCCUCCUGGUACCUGUAGAGAGCCCACAGGAAAGAUGGGAUGACACUAUUAGAGCCUGGAGUAACAGGACAAGAAGGAAUGGCUUCACACUGACAGAGUGGGUUGAGAUGAAGUUUUAGGAAAAAAUUCCUCCCUGUGAGGGUGAUGAGGCCCUGGCACAGGGUGCCCAGAGAAGCUGUGGCUGCCCCUGGAAGUGCCCAAGCCAGGUUGAACAGGGCUGGAGCACCUGGGAUAGUGGAAGGUGUCCCUGCCCACAGAAGGGGGCAGAAAAAGGCGGGAUUUAAGAUCCCUUCCAAUCCAAACCAGUCUGGGAUUUUGUGAUUCUAUGAUUUACAGAGGCUGACAUCAGUCAAGCUGUGCUCUUCUGCUCCUGCAUUCUCACUCACAAAUGCUUGAAAAACAAGUCUGCAUCCUUCAGGUAGAAAAGAAACUCAUUACUCACACCACAGCCCGUGGAUAGCAAAGUCCCCAGACACGACUUAUUAAUCCCAUCAUGGUCAGUGCCACAAGGUUCACAUUGAUCUUUGCAGUGACCACAACUGGCUCCUUCAGAAAUCCCAACAUCCUGUCAAAAGUUUGUCUGAACCUUCGAGAGCAGAAGAGAACAGCAGUCACCCUUUGGUUCACAGAGCUGAACAUUUCACAGAAAGCAUAAGGACUAAUUUCUGCAACAAGCAGCUCAUGGUAAUUAAUUUCCCAAAAUUCUCUUGCUUUUCAUCAUUUCUGUUUUUCUGUUCUAUAGGACUAAUUGUAAAAACAAAGUUAUGAACUGACACACUUUUCGUCUGCCCUGCUUCUGCCUGCAGUAGUAAGCUAGGAACCUUGUUUAUUUUUACAUUGGUUCUGCAGAAACACAGCAGCUUAAUUCUCCAGCCUGUUUGCUUUUGUGCAAAGCAAACCUCACAGCCCAAAUUCUGAUGCUACUGAUGCACAACCCAUGGGCUCAGGCACCAGAUGACCUCACUAACUGAGCUAUUUGGAACUCAGGUUUAAAAAAAAAAAAAACUCAAACAAGUUACUUCCUUACAAAGGGAGGUAUUUCUUUGGGAGUGAAGAAGGGAGGGACAAAUCCCCCAAACAUCUUCUGCACUAGAAAUCUGGUUACUGGAGCACAUUUAUAGGUACUGUUCAAGCUGAAGUGCCAAUACCUAGGUCAGAAAAUAGCAGAGUAUCAGUGCCGUGCCUCCUCACCUCAAGAGAACGGAAAGUUACCAGAGCAAAUCCAUCUGCGUGGCUUUGAUCAGGGGAGAACAAAGCGAGAUGUGAGCACAUCACCAUCCAGAGUGGUGCCACUGGCCUGCUUUCUCUCUGCGUACAAAACACCAGAUCUGUGUGGAGCAGAGGCUUUCAGGUGCCCUGGCAGAUAUGUGCUCCCACCUGAGCUCCAUCACCCCUCGCGGUACAGCUGGGCCCAGGGUAACACCACCUGGGGCUCCCUCCUCAGGGCACCCUCAAACCUCUGCCGGGCUCUGCACCCUUCAUGAGGAGGGAGCAGGGCCACCCCGCCUUGCUGCCCCCAUUUAAGCUCUCGGGGGGCAGUAGGACCACUCUCCCCGCACGUCGCCCUCAGAGGGUCACCAAGACCCACUCCCCACCCUGUACCCAGCCCCCCUUGAGUGUUUUUGGGAGGCACAGAAGCAUCAACCACAUCCCGCCCGAAGCCUCGCGGCCCCUCCCUCCCCAAUAGCUGUUCGGGGUUGACGGCGGCCCGUGACCAGCGGCACCGCGGAGCCAGGAUCGGGACAAGCAUCAGGACCGGGAACACGACCGGGACCAGCACUAGGACUGGAAUAAGGAUCGAGACCAGGACCACGACUAGGACUUGGAUCGAGAGCAAGCCGGGGACCGUGACCAGGAUCAGUACAAAGGCCGGGACCGAGCACCAGGACCCCCCGCCCCACACGGGCCCCGCGCGCCGGGGGGGGCGUGGCAGCUCCGCGCGCCGCGCUCCACCCGCCCCCUACCUGCGACGCCGGAUGUGACGUCAGACGCAGGCUACGACACGGGAGCGGAACCAGGAAACACGGGUGUGUUACCAUGGCAACGCCGCGUGUGGCGAGCGAGCCCGGCCCGGCCGCCAUGGCGGCUGUGAGGGAGCCCUCUGCACCGGAGCUCACCGGCACAACCACCGACCCCAGCGAGGGUGCCAGGGCACCACGAACACUGUGUCCCUCCCCCUCCCUACUCUGGGACGUUCACACAAACUUUAAAAACCUGGGGUUUUUUUGCUGUGUGUUUGGGUUGUUUAUUUCUUUUUUUGUUUUGUUUUGGAAUUUUGUUGGUUUUUUGGUUUUUUAUUAUUAUUAACUAAAAUAACCAGACAAAGGACUGUAAAAUUGAGAAAAGCAUAAUCUGCUUUAUUUUUUUAAUUUUUUUUUAUUUAAAUAAGGAGAAUUCUUUCAUAUGGAAAGAGCUAAUACAAUCACAUAUUUGAAAGGAGAAACAAUAGGUACUGAAACAAGGAGAAGGGCAAUAAAGAGUGUGCCGCAACUGGCCUGGUUGAUUCCGUGAUUCGAAUUCCGGUCCGAGUAAAAGUUUCCAAAAAAUAUAAACAGGUUGCACAUUACACAAUUAUCCAUCGUCUGCCCUUUCAAAUAUCUGGUCUACAUGAAAAGACAAAGAGGAAAGGCCAAAAAAAAUUUACUAUACAGGUCAUGAAGUUAAAAGCUUUAAGGAGGACAAUAUCCCCUUGAGAAACAACAAAUGCAAUUUAUACAGAACCAGAGGGAGGAUUCCAGCUAAGGACAAUGCCUCAAGACAUGCUAAAGGGUGAGCGCCUCACUGCUGCAGCUGUGAUUCCUGGGGAAACACUCAAGGACAUUGGAGCAGCCAGAACAAGCCACUAAACCCAAGGGAGUGUCUACAGCCACUGGAAGACCUGGUGGUCUUUGGACUAAAAUAAACAACAAAAAUAACUGGACUCUCCUGUCUCUUUUGUUUCAGCAAAACGCACUUUUUUUGUCCAUGGGCCACAACUAAGCACGCCGGUGGCUGUCAUAAAUUAAAUUUUAUUCACAAAAGCAACUUUCUUAUGAAGAAACUAGGUUGCUGAACAAAAAAUAACAAGUGCUACAAGGAAUUAACCUGUGCUUACAACCAGUCUGGAGCAAAAGGGAGGGUUAAGAAAAUGCAACAGAAGGGGUGCUGGCUGCAAGGUGACUGGAGGAGCCAGGAGGUGAGACACAGCGAAGACACUCGGCUCAUUUUGAAUACCUAUCUAUAAAUACACAGGAACCACAGGGCAGCUGGGGGCUUUGCAGCAUUCCUGCAAGGAAGGUGUUGAUGGCAUGAGUGCCUCUGCAUGAACACCACACACA